rnacentral:rRNA from 1 species
GAGUUUGAUUCUGGCUCAGGACGAACGCUGGCGGCGUGCUUAACACAUGCAAGUCGAACGGGAAACUUUAUUUCGGUAAAGGAUCUAGUGGCAAACGGGUGAGUAACGCGUAGGCAACCUGCCCUUAGGAUGGGGACAACGGCCCGAAAGGACCGCUAAUACCGAAUGCACUCUAACUUCCGCAUGGAAGAAAGAGGAAAGAUGGUGCAAGCCAUCGCCGAAGGAAGGGCCUGCGUCUGAUUAGCCAGUUGGUGAGGUAACGGCUCACCAAAGCAACGAUCAGUAGCCGGUCUGAGAGGAUGAACGGCCACAAUGGGACUGAGACACGGCCCAUACUCCUACGGGAGGUAGCAGUGGGGAAUCUUCCGCAAUGGGCGAAAGCCUGACGGAGCAACGCCGCGUGAGUGAAGAAGGUCUUCGGAUCGUAAAGCUCUGUUGUUGGGACGAAAGGGAAAGGGAGGAAAUGCCCUUUUAAGACG